UUAAGUAUGGGUCCUGUACGCUCACUCACCAAGUCGUUUAUACUAUUAAUGUGAGCAAAACGAAAAUAGACCCGAGAGAACCCUGCAUCUUUACGUUGUAGUGCGGGCACAUCUGGGGAGACCAAGGAAUGGAAGACCUGAGAAUUCCCAUGUUACAGACAUCUCAUUUUCCCCGGAGGAAUUAACUAAAAGAGAAUCAACUGAUCCACAUACAUCAAUUAUGAAGAUAUUUAUUGAGUGCCAACUCCCUGCCAGGCAUUGUGCUGGACAUUCAGAACUAAAGAGUAAACAACAGAGACUCUCUGUGGAACAGUACCAUGGGAGUGCUGUGAGAAAUUAAAUCCAAAAUGCAAAGGGAGCACAGAGUCCCCAUCCAGGAGCCCACCCAGAGUCACCUCAUUGAACAAAAACAUUCCUAUCACCCAGGAAAGAUGGGUGCUUUAUCCAUUAUGUGCAUUAAUAAAAUAGAUGGCAGGUGGGGGACAGUACAUUCACUAUAAUAUGGAAGCUUGGAAAAGAACCAGAUGUGAAGAUGAGGACAGCCUGUGGGACAUCCAGGAAGAUGUUGGGAGAGGAUGAUCACAAUGGUUUGCAUUUGAUUGUGUUGGGGAAUGUGCAUUACUGGGGUUUUAACACCCUGUGCCAUGUGCCCAGUUGUGUCAACAGGCUCCUCCAUCCAUGGGAUUUCCCCAGCAAGAAUACUGGAGCUGGGUGCCGUUUCCUCCUCCAGGGGAUCUUCCUGACCCAAGGAUCGAACCUGCAUCUCCUGCCAAUAUUGGCAGGUGGAUUCUUUACCACUGAGUCACAUGGAAAGCCCAGUGAUACCCUAUAGGAUUAUGAUGAGGAUUAAAGUGGUGUCACUUAUAUGAAAGGGCUUAUCACACAGCCUUUGUACACAGGUUCCCUAUGAAGAAUAAGUUCCCUUCUCUACUGAAUACACACAUGGUGACUAUGGGUGGCUACAUGUAGAGUCUAGAGCAAACUGCUAUCAUAAAGUAUAUCAACUUAAAUAUAACCAUAUUCUCCUAAAUAAAUCAAGGCAUCUCUGAAUAAAAAAAUCAUUCUUACAUUUUCUGCUUUCUCAGCUUUGUGACUAAUAUUGAUCGACAGGGUUCUACCGUGUAUUUGCAUAUUUUAUCUAAGUAAUUGAGUAUAAAUAGGAAAGGAAUCACAAUUAAGAAUAAUUUUAAACAAUAGGAAGAAAAGGAAUUUGACACAAGCAAACCAUUGUCAAGAUGCACUGCCCCUUUCCAUUUUGAAGAAAAGAUUAAACAAGGAGAGGUCCAAAUUACAGUGUUUGCUAGGUACUAUUUUCACUUAUCCAUUUAGAAAUAAAUUAGCAGCAAACACCAUCAAAAGGUAUUCCAGAGAUGGAAUCUUUUGCUUUUUAAUACCCAUAUACAUUCCAAGAAUGUGAAAUUAAAAAAAAAUAUCUGUUCUAAAUGGAAAGGGCUAGACCAGGUGAAGAGAAAGGGAGAGUGCUUCUUUUAGAAAUAACUCCGUAAUGCCUACCUUUUGCCAACAGCCAGGCAUGGGUAAUCCAUCUGGCCCCUAUUUUAAAAAGAAGAAUAAAAAUUCCUCAGCUUCCACAAAAGUGAUCAUACUUCAUAAUUAAUAAGCUCAGAGGCUUAACAAUGGAUUUAUAGCUGUUAGGUGGCUUUAGUCAUAGGCAUCUUUUAUCCACCCCGAAUAGACUACCCAACACUAGUUAAAAUGAAGGAAAUUCAAAUGUUUUCCAAAGUGAGUACACAUUUUGCAAAUAAAUAAAAUAUAAAAAUAUUUAUCCUUAACGUUGAACAAUGAUUUGUAAAACCUAGUGGUCUACUUGUUAUAUCUUUAGACAAUAAAUCUGUACUGUUUCUCUUAAUUUCAUUAAAAUGCCUUUUAUAAUUAUCUUUAUUCAAUAAAUGAAAAUAACUUCUCUUCCUGAUCACUAUGUUUUAUGGCUAAAUGCAUAAUAAUGAGUAAUCAGUGAUGAACCAUUUCUAUCUGAAGUUUAUAGCUCUUCACAUGGCGUAUUUUUCAACUUAUCUAGAUUGAAAGCAGAAAAAGUAGACCAUUAAAUUGAUUGGAUUCAAAGAUAAGUAGUGUCUAUAUCUUUACAGUAAAAUGUUAUCCAAAGUCUUUGUCAAUUUUUUAAUUGAAAUUCUUCAGAAGCCAAUUAACAAGUCCUGAGUAAACAAAAAUGUUGCAAAAUUUAUUUUCACUUAAGGUGUAAGCACUCUUCAGAUACAAAUGAUAUAAAUAAGACAAGAAGAACCGACAUACUAUGAAGCAUGCUUGUGUUUUCUCCCAGCGAAAUGAUUGUAAACCAUUAUUUAUUGUCAAUAUCAAGCAAACAAAAUAAAAGCCUGGGCACAUCAUAUGGAAAUCUUCUAACUGCAAUUAUUGACUGAAUAAAAAUUUCUUCUCUUACACAAUCUCUUAAAAGACUUGAGAAGCAUAAAUUUAUCUUUAAAGAAUCAUGCUUAGUACUUAAUAAUACGAGAACAUGCAGACCAAA